CAGGAAGUGACAACAUUUUGGAGGGAAAGCACCAGCACAAACAUCUGAAAUUAAGUUGCAACCGCAAUGUGUUCAAAACGAGAGCGCUCACACCGAGCCAAGUCCUUUUAAUUUGCAUGUUUUGUGCAAAUUCCUGCGUGUCGAUGAAUUAAAACUGCGAGCCAAAGAAGUUGAAAGACUUAUAUACAUAUAUAUAUAGGAAAGAACGUAUGCUGUGUCUGAGUGGAACCCUUGACUCCUGGAAACCUUUGUGCGGACCUCAAACUCAUUUGGACGGAGCGUGCAGUCCCCAUCCCUGCAUGGCGCCAGCUGACAAUGCUCCACAUCAACACCCUGACGAUUGAGAGAUCUAGAGUGACAUGGGACCCUCUUCCAUUCAUAAUAAAACAAUUAAGUUGUUUGCUAUGGAAUGGACGGAGUGUUCCGUCAAGCUACGGAUUAGUCUCCUGUGAGCAACUGCGUGAUUCCUGUUCCCCCCACAACAGAGGUGGACAGCUGGAGGUGCUGGCGGAAGCAGGCUUCGUGCUGUCUGCUAGGCCAUCUGGAAAAGAGCAGGAUUCCAAGGCUGAUGAUGAGGUGGAGAAAAGUGCUUUCCCUUCUGCUCGGCAGCGCCGUGAUUUGUGUUACGCCAUUUGCGAAAGGACCUGUACUUUCUCUCUGAAGCUAUUCUGACAUUUCUCACUUCCCAUCUCCUGCCCCAGGCAUUUACAAGGGCCAACAGAGAGAUUUUUACAUCUCUGGUGGAUCACAUCAACUUUAAGGGCCCGUAGGACAGAAUCGUGUCCAUCCAAUAGUAUUUAUUUAAUACAGCUUUAACCUUUUAACACAGUUAUUUGAGUAGCAGGUCACACUUGGUAUGUCUGCAUCAAAUAAAGGGGUCACGACUUUCAGAACUCAAAAUGUCAUUCGAGUU